rnacentral:lncRNA from 1 species
ACAGUUUACCUUGUUGUGUGGUCCACAGAAUAUUUCGAGUACAGUAUUUCGAGCUUCUUGAAUUGUUUCAAGAUGGUUUCAAGCAAAUCAUAUCGAGUACGGUCGUACGGUGACAAGAAGAAGCGAGCAACACUCUACAGCAUCUGCGACCCAGCCAUCGCUCGCUCCCUUCGUUCUCCUGGCGCACCAUCGGAUGUGGCCUACGAAUAGAUCACAUCUGCGGGCCUCUUUCAAACCAAUUCUUGCCGCGACCGUCGGUGGCAGUACAGCUGGUAGUACAGCGUUUCAAGUUUGGAGCACGUGAACAGCAGCCCGGCGAGUCCGUACUUCAUCGCAGAACAGCAACGUCCUACGGGACACUAGCCAAGGAGGGUACACCGGUAGUGUAAGGGUAGUUCGCCUGGUUCUCGGGUGGAUUUGUUCGCUGCGAAGGUGCGCACUCGCGCUACGGUGAGGCGUAAAUAAAAAGCCUCUGCCCGCGAUAAGAAUAGAGGAGACAACACUCAUCCAACAGUUGCCUGUUCAAAUGAUCAGUGCCACUUCUGCAAGCAACGGGGCCACACCGUGAAAGCAUGCAGGAGGCAAACUGCUGCUCACAGUUCGACUGAACCCGAUUCGCCUGGGAGAAGCAUUAUUGGCGGAAGGCAAGUCAAUGAGAGCCGCUGCGAGAAGAAUCUGCUGCAAUCACCGCUUGUACUAAUCUACGAUAAUGUCAACGAUCCCCUAGUGCUUGCCUGUGGCACAUCACCAUAUGGACUGGAAACAUUGCCUAGCCAUGUGGGUGAAGAUGCCAGAGAGAGGCCUAUUGGCAUAUACGUCGACAACCAUGAACACUGCAGAAAGAAGCUAUGCUUAGACAGACUGGAAAGCAGUUGUCAUUGGCUUUGGUGAAGUUUAAUCAGUUACCAUGUGGCAGGCAUUUCAAGGUUGUGACAGAUCACAGGGCACUUUUAAGACUUGCCCAUUCCACGAGUGCCGUCACCACGCACGCUCCGUUUGGGCUGUCAUGGCAGCACACGUCACAAAUUUGAGCACCUAGCUGCAGAGAAUCUCUGCAAUGCGGACGUGUUCAGUCAUUUACCACUGAGUUACCACUAAGGGCCAGCAAAGCAGAGGAGGGGCAGCGAUGUCUUUAUGAAAUAGAAGUGAUGAUGUGACAUGGAGCAUGCAGAGGGCAAGGUUUUCAUCGAAGUACAAGGUGUUGGCUAGUGUCUUCAACUGGGUGCAUUGUAGGGAGUCAAAGCACAAGCUACCUGAAGAGUUUGCAGCAUUUGUGAGCUGCAAGCAUGGACUCGUGUACUGGGGUUGUCUGCAAUGGGGCAGUAGUCUCGUCAUUCCACGUCCAGGCAGACGGCACAUCAUGGAAAUUCUUCACAAGCACAUCCAGGAAUUGCCGAGAUGAAGGAACUUGCCCAAGAAGCAGGGUUACGAGGUUGAAAAGACAAAAUGUAGCCAAAAAAUUUUAAAAACUACCUGAAAAGUAGCCAGCUUGAGCCAAAAAUAGCUGCACAUGUGUGAAAGCAGCUGCAACGUUUUUACUCAAACAACUUAACGCGAUAGCCCUCUUGGCAAAAACAUAAAUAAGUGCAGUAUGAACACUUCAAAAAUCAGAAUUGCUGAGAUGGAAGCAUAAAUUGUUGACAUAUGCAAUCAUUUCAUGCAGGAUGACAAAGUAUCUUGCACUGUAUAAAAAUCUCUGUUCACACAUCUUAAGUGACUUUUCUUAAAAGAACUAAAAGUAAUUAAACAGCCUUUUGGCGACAAUAAAAAUGAGUCUGGCACGAGUGUGCUCCAAUUCGCAGUUGCUGGGAUUCAAGCCUAAACAAAACGGCUCACAUUUGCUAUCACUUCUUGCGCGAUGAUGAAGUCCGAGGAGUUACUAUAUUGCUGUCACAGCCUGUACGGGACCCUAAGAAAUGACGCAAGCAGUUCGUCAGAUAUCCCAUUUCCAAUGUUGAGUACAGAAUAUGCUCAGUGAAGAGUGCAGAGUGCUUUCAAUACUGUGCACUUCCUCUUAUGGUUUAAAGUUGCACUCAGAAAUAAGAACUUGGCAGAAAAAAUUGCCAACAAUUUUUUAAAAUGAAUGUACGAAGUCACAUUCGAGGUGCAGCUGUGCGCCUCUUCUAUGAAGAUGUUUCUUUAUACCAUGUUUGUACACAUUACAGAAAAUUAGAUUACCAUAUACAGUAACUUCCUUUGCAAUGUAACUGAAAUUAUGAACUGCUGCUUCCAUUAUGAACUUAUUAUGACAUUAUGAACUGCUGCUGACCAAGUACUGAAAUGUAAUUUAUUGCGUUUGCAUUAUUUUGUGCCAUUUUAGUGGCAAUUAUACCAUACUAAUUUUAGUGUUCCAGCAAAUGAAAUGACCUAUCCUGUAUGGGUCAAUUCAUGUUGUGCAGCCAUUCAUGUUCUUUUUGUGUUCUCUGCAAAUUUCUUUUAAAUUUUUUUUUGUGUCAGUCGUCUUGUUUCAUUGUGAAAACACCUGCGAAGGCAAUGAAAACUUGCACCAUGUGCCUGCACUAAAGAAGGGCAGUGUUGUACAGAAACAUUGUGCACAGGAUUUUACCUAUUCAUUGGCCCAAUAGUUACAUUUGUGUCCUCUUAGAAAUGCACUUCAUUAUUAAUGGGGCUUAAAAAAGGCACUUCCAGUAGGUCCGCCACAAAGGGUAAAAAGUUGCUGAUCCUUGAUUUCCUAGCAUCAACACCCGAUGUGACCAUGCUUAUCAAGCUGUAGCAGCAUUGGUUAAAGUAGUGGGCCAGCAUGCAGUUCCAAGAUGUUGAAACAUCUAUUGAGCACUCCUAUCUGGCUUGCCUGAACAUUGACAUCCUAUGAGUGAAUUGUGAGUGUUCCGUCUUACAUUAAAUGGGAUCUCUGUGCUUUUGCAGAUGUGUCUGUUUGCCCUACGGAGCAUCGAAGAAGUUGCACACUUCAGACAUUGGAUGGAUGUGACUCCACCAGGAACUGCAUACUUUGAUAGGCCGAGCACAGUCGCGUGUGCCCUACCUUGGCACGGAUCAACAGACUGUGCAUACAUUUGUACAUACUGUGUUUGCACCGCUGUUUGCAUUGAAGGGAUCGACAGCACAAAGGUUCCUUAUCCACAAUAUCUCAUCAGCAGUACCAUUCCCUCGUGUCCUUCCAAGACGGACUGCAUUCCUGCCGGCAGUGCACCUAUGCGACCAAGUACAAGACACACAUGAGAACACACCUUCUCAAGCAUACGGGCGAGCGCCCCUUUGAGUGCCACUUGUGUCCAGCUACAUUCACUGAGAGGUUCAAGCUCAUGGUUCACGUGCGCGCCCACACAGGAAAGCGUCCCUUUCCCUGUGACUACUGCGACGCAUCCUUUACACAGAGGAACCACCUCCUUGACCACAUGUGCACCCACACAGGAGAGCGUCCCUUUUCCUGUGUUCAGUGCAACGCAUCCUUUUCGAAGAGGAGCAACCUCAGUGACCACAUGCGCACCCAUACGGGAGAGCGUCCCUUUUCCUGUGCUCACUGCAAUGCAUCUUUUUCA